rnacentral:lncRNA from 1 species
ACGGGAACUCCUCAGUGGAGUAUUUGAAACCAAGUCACUUCAAAUACUCACAUUCUGAUUACAACAACCCCCUGUUUCAGGGGAGCUGGAGCCAUGCUGGCCUCACCCACCCCAUGUCUCUAGCUCCUAAAGCCGUGAUGGGCGUGUGGCAGGUGCAGUGAAUCCUCGUUGAAUUAAAAUGAGUAAUUUUCAACAACCCUAACCUGUGCGGUUUCUCUCCCGUCAGCCUCUGUUCUGUAUAGAUGAUUCUCACUCUGAGUGACUUAUUAAGCACCUGCUGUGUGCCCCGCCCUCUGAGAGGUAUUCUAGGGAGCAAAGGAGGGGUGAGGACCCCCAGUGGGUUUAACUCACUCUUCCUGGAAACUGUGUGAAGAGGAAGAGCGAGAAGAUAGAAUUCCGAGUGCCCUGUACUCAUUUACUCCUUAAAUGGCAGAAUAAGCUUACCUAGCGGGGAUUUACCACAUCUGACCAUAGCUCCAAGGGCAGAGGUUAAAUCUUCCUUGGGAAUUUGCUUGAAGCGGCAGAGUGGCCCCAGGUCAGACAGACUCUAGGUUAGACUUCUGGGUCUGGUUUCUCCCAAGUACAAAGAGAGCUCAUUACACCCACCUCUAGCGGUUUAUGUGUGCGGACACCCCCUCUUCUCCUCACAGACUCUCUGGCCCAGCCUUGCCCACCGGGUCGCACCACGGAAGCUAAGGGACCUGAUGGAGAGCCCGGGGUGGGGGAGGGGGGGUGUUGGGUCGUGGGCGUCAGGUCUCCCCUGUGCUCUCGCCCUGCAGGAGAGAUGGGGUCUCUGGCUGCGUGGGCCCCACGCGGAGCCACCGCACCUGCCGCACUGAGAGCUGCCCGGAAGGCGCCCGAGACUUCCGGGCGGAGCAGUGCUCAGAGUUCGACGGCCAGGAGUUCCAGGGGCGGCGGUACAAGUGGCUGCCCUACUAUGCGGGUGAGUGACCGAGCCCCUGGCGCCGCCCCGCCCUGCGUUGUCCAGCAGGGCCUUGUAUUUGGGGCAUCUCUUUUGUACAUUCACUUUGUAUCUCACAAUUCUCAUUACCAUAUUGGAGACUGUUAUCAAAUAUCUUUAAAGGAAAACCUCCCAUACCCCUAGCACAGCACAACGGUGGGCGUUUUGAGGGUUUUUUCCCCCUUCCCCCCCUCUAUAUAUUUCUCCAUUUCCUUUUUUCUUUCCUUUUUCUUUUCAUGGCCGCAUCUGGCUUUUGGAAGUUUCCCAGCUGGGGGCCGGCCGGGGUGGGGUGCGGUGCGAAUCAGAGUUAACAGCUGCUGGCCUGCUUCAUAGCAAUUCGGAUCCGCGCUGCAACCUACACACAGCCUGCGGCAACACCAGAUCCCUAACCCACCAGAGCAAGGCCAGGGCUCCAUCCUCACAGAAGUUCAGAACUCCUGUAUACAUUUUCAAACAAAGCCAUGGCUAUGUCUGUGUUUUGAGCCUUGUUUUGUUUGUCGUGCUCCUGAAGCAUCCCCCACGUGGCAGGAGUUGGGGUGGGGGUGCAGGAUCUGUGACUGGGCAAACUGCAGGCUGGGCUUCAAUGGGCUUGGUGUGUCAAGAGUGUGUUUACUUAGCAUCUCUAGUGUGGGAGACUGUGCUUUGAGUAACUUUGAGGGGGGUGUAGGUCAUUCAUUUUUAGAGCAAUAUAGUUCAAGAGAAAAACACUGAUAUGCAUGCAAUGAAAACGUUUUGGAUGAGUCAGAAGAUACCUUAGGAUAAUCCUUUGGAGUAUUAGUUUUCACUGCUCACUGUAAAUGACUCCUGGAAGCUAUGGCACUCUGGGUUCCAAAUCAGUGAACAUUAGAUCCUGUGUGUGCUGUGGGGUGGAGGAGAGAGAGGGUCUUGGCUAGGUGGAGUGGCCCCAAUGCGGUGAUUUGCCCUCACUGCUCCCCCUGGAUCCGGAGAUGAGCAUAUGUUGAAAAUAAGUUAAAUAUAUCUACAUUAUAGAAAAACUAGAACAGAAGAAAAGGUUAAAAAGGGUCUUAGAGGGAGUUCCCUUCAUGGCUCAGCGGUUAACGAAGCCAACUAGGAUCCCUGAGG